AGAGUUUGAUCAUGGCUCAGGAUGAACGCUGGCGGCGUGCCUAAUACAUGCAAGUCGAGCGAACGGAUAAGGAGCUUGCUCCUUUGAAGUUAGCGGCGGACGGGUGAGUAACACGUGGGUAACCUACCUAUAAGACUGGAAUAACUUCGGGAAACCGGAGCUAAUGCCGGAUAACAUUUGGAACCGCAUGGUUCUAAAGUAAAAGAUGGUUUUGCUAUCACUUAUAGAUGGACCCGCGCCGUAUUAGCUAGUUGGUAAGGUAACGGCUUACCAAGGCAACGAUACGUAGCCGACCUGAGAGGGUGAUCGGCCACACUGGAACUGAGACACGGUCCAGACUCCUACGGGAGGCAGCAGUAGGGAAUCUUCCGCAAUGGACGAAAGUCUGACGGAGCAACGCCGCGUGAGUGAUGAAGGUUUUCGGAUCGUAAAACUCUGUUAUUAGGGAAGAACAAAUGUGUAAGUAACUGUGCACAUCUUGACGGUACCUAAUCAGAAAGCCACGGCUAACUACGUGCCAGCAGCCGCGGUAAUACGUAGGUGGCAAGCGUUAUCCGGAAUUAUUGGGCGUAAAGCGCGCGUAGGCGGUUUCUUAAGUCUGAUGUGAAAGCCCACGGCUCAACCGUGGAGGGUCAUUGGAAACUGGGAAACUUGAGUACAGAAGAGGAAAGUGGAAUUCCAUGUGUAGCGGUGAAAUGCGCAGAGAUAUGGAGGAACACCAGUGGCGAAGGCGACUUUCUGGUCUGUAACUGACGCUGAUGUGCGAAAGCGUGGGGAUCAAACAGGAUUAGAUACCCUGGUAGUCCACGCCGUAAACGAUGAGUGCUAAGUGUUAGGGGGUUUCCGCCCCUUAGUGCUGCAGCUAACGCAUUAAGCACUCCGCCUGGGGAGUACGACCGCAAGGUUGAAACUCAAAUGAAUUGACGG
rnacentral:rRNA from 1 species